GAGGUUAUAGCUCAAGCGGUAGAGCACUUGCCCAGCAAGCAAAAUCUCUUGAGUUCAAUCCCCAGUAUCCACC
rnacentral:tRNA from 1 species